UUUUAUACGGCCGCAAAAAAAUUUUGUGGUCGUAUAUUGGUAUGACGGCGUCGUCGUCGUCGUCGUCGUCGUCGUCGUCGUCCGGCGUCGUCGUCCGAAGACACAUUGGUUUUCGCACUCUAACUUUAGUUUAAGUGAAUGGAUCUCCAUGAAAUUUUACCAUAAGGUUAAAUACCACAAAAGGAAGGUGGGGAUUGAUUUUGGGGGUUAUGGUACCAACAGUUAAGGAAUUAGGGGCCAAAAAGGGGCCAAAAAUAAGCAUUUUCUAGUUUCCAGACAAUAACUGUGGAACGGUGUAUGGAUCUCUCUGAAAUUAUACUACAAGUUUCCAUACCACAAAGGGAUGGUUAGGAUUUGC